rnacentral:rRNA from 1 species
UACGUAGGUGGCAAGCGUUGUCCGGAAUUAUUGGGCGUAAAGCGCGCGCAGGUGGUUUCUUAAGUCUGAUGUGAAAGCCCACGGCUCAACCGUGGAGGGUCAUUGGAAACUGGGGAACUUGAGUGCAGGAGAGAAGAGUGGAAUUCCACGUGUAGCGGUGAAAUGCGUAGAGAUGUGGAGGAACACCAGUGGCGAAGGCGACUCUUUGGCCUGUAACUGACACUGGAGGCGCGAAAGCGUGGGGAUCAA